CUGCUGGGGGUGCCUUUCGGCUGAGAAAUGUCUUCGGACGUUACCCUGAGAACUUGAUCCGGUUCAUACCGGCGUAAGGAAUGCAC
rnacentral:ncRNA from 1 species